UGUUACCCGCUGACUUAAGCAUAUCAAUAAGCGGAGGAAAAGAAACUAACAAGGAUUCCCUUAGUAACUGCGAGUGAAGAGGGAAAAGCUCAAAUUUAAAAUCUGGCAGCGCUUCGCUGUCCGAGUUGUAACCUAGAGAAGUGUAACCUGUGCUGGACCGUGUACAAGUCUCCUGGAAUGGAGCAUCAUAGAGGGUGAGAAUCCCGUCUUUGACAUGGACUACCAGUGCAUUGUGGUUGCGCUCUCAACGAGUCGAGUUGUUUGGGAAUGCAGCUCUAAAUGGGUGGUAAAUUCCAUCUAAAGCUAAAUAUUGGCGAGAGACCGAUAGCGAACAAGUACCGUGAGGGAAAGAUGAAAAGAACUUUGGAAAGAGAGUUAAACAGUAUGUGAAAUUGUUGAAAGGGAAACGUUUGAAGUCAGUCGCGUUGGUUGGGGAUCAGCCUGACAUUGUUGGGUGUACUUCCUGAUCGACGGGCCAACAUCAGUUUUGACUGCCAGAAAAAGGCCAGAGGAAUGUGGCACCCUUGGGUGUGUUAUAGCCUUUGGUCGUAUAUGGUGGUUGGGACUGAGGAAAGCAGCGCGCCGAAAGGCCGGGUUUCGACCACGUUCACGCUGAGGAUGUUGGCAUAAUGGCUUUAAGCGACCCGUCUUGAAACACGGACCAAGGAGUCUAACAUGCAUGCGAGUGUUUGGGUGGAAAACCCUUACGCGUAAUGAAAGUGAAAGUUGAGAUCCCUGUCGCGGGGAGCAUCGACGCCCGGACCAGAACUUUUGGGACGGAUCUGCGGUAGAGCACGUAUGUUGGGACCCGAAAGAUGGUGAACUAUGCCUGAAUAGGGUGAAGCCAGAGGAAACUCUGGUGGAGGCUCGUAGCGAUUCUGACGUGCAAAUCGAUCGUCAAAUUUGGGUAUAGGGGCGAAAGACUAAUCGAACCAUCUAGUAGCUGGUUCCUGCCGAGCCUCUCUCUCUCAGAUAUUA
rnacentral:rRNA from 1 species